GCUCCAAUAGCGUAUAUUAUUGAUGUUGCAGUUGAAACGUUCGUAGUCUAACUGUUUCUGUUUGGGCGAAGAACCAGUCUAUGACUGAUCUUUGUAUCCAGCAGAAAAUGUGUUAUUUGUGGGUGUUUCACUCGCUUACUAACAUUCUACUUUGAGUGAAUCGGCGUGUUCCACGCAGCUUUAUGCCUUGAACGAUUUAC
rnacentral:rRNA from 1 species